rnacentral:rRNA from 1 species
CUGCUGCCUCCCGUAGGAGUCUGGUCCGUGUCUCAGUACCAGUGUGGGGGACCUUCCUCUCAGAACCCCUACGCAUCGUCGCCUCGGUGGGCCGUUACCCCGCCGACUAGCUAAUGCGCCGCAUGGCCAUCCGCAGCCGAUGAAUCUUUAACCGCCGAGGGAUGCCCCUCCGCGGUGUUACGCGGUAUUAGACGGAAUUUCUUCCGCUUAUCCCCCUGCUGCGGGCAGGUUCCAUACGUGUUACUCACCCGUGCGCCGGUCGCCGGG